rnacentral:tRNA from 1 species
CAAAGUGUAGCUUAAAUAAGUUAAGCAUUUCACUUACGUUGAAAAGAUUUAUCGUGCAAAUCGGUUCACUUUGA